rnacentral:misc_RNA from 1 species
AAUUAACAGAAGAGCUUAGAAAAAUUGAGUUAAUAACGGAAUUAAGUACCAGCAAUGGUGCAAAGAAGCCAAGAUGGACUGAAGCUUCUCCAUUUGGUUUGAUUUGAAGAAGCCACUGAAACAAGACUUCGGGGCUCAUCACCUUUUUCCGCUGUCUUCACUUUUACUUUCAUACCAUCAGGCAAAAUAGGGCCUGAACUUCGCAUCUCAGAUAAAUUCUUUAGCCUGUUUUGAGUCUUGGCAGCCAGGUCCUUACUGAGAUAGUUGAUAAUGAAGUUGUCUCUGGUUAUGCUCACCUUGGAUUGCAUCACAUUUAGGUGACACCACAG